rnacentral:rRNA from 1 species
GAUGAACGCUGGCGGCGUGCUUAACACAUGCAAGUCGAACGGAAAGGCCGAAGCUUGCUUCGGUACUCAAGUGGCGAACGGGUGAGUAACACGUGGGUGAUCUGCCCUGUACUUCGGGAUAAGCUUGGGAAACUGGGUCUAAUACCGGAUAUGACAAUCUCUUGGAUGGGGUUGUGGAAAGCUUUUGCGGUAUGGGAUGAGCUCGCGGCCUAUCAGCUUGUUGGUGGGGUAAUGGCCUACCAAGGCGUCGACGGGUAGCCGGCCUGAGAGGGUGUACGGCCACAUUGGGACUGAGAUACGGCCCAGACUCCUACGGGAGGCAGCAGUGGGGAAUAUUGCACAAUGGGCGCAAGCCUGAUGCAGCGACGCCGCGUGGGGGAUGACGGCCUUCGGGUUGUAAACUCCUUUCGCAACCGACGAAGCUUUUGUGACGGGAGGUUGAGAAGAAGCACCGGCUAACUACGU